rnacentral:misc_RNA from 1 species
AGCAGCCGCGGUAAUUCCAGCUCCAAUAGCGUAUAUUAAAGUUGUUGCAGUUAAAAAGCUCGUAGUUGAAUUUCGGGAUUGACACAUCGGUCGUGCCUUAAGGGGUAUGAACUGGUGUAGUCAAUUUCUCACCUUCUGGAGAACCGCGAUGCCCUUAAUUGGGUGUCGCGGGGAACCAGGACCUUUACUUUGAAAAAAUUAGAGUGUUUAAAGCAGGCAUUUUGCUUGAAUACAUUAGCAUGGAAUAAUAAAAUAGGACGGCAUGAUUCUAUUUUGUUGGUUUCUAGGAUCACCGUAAUGAUUAAUAGGGAUAGUUGGGGGCAUUAGUAUUCAAUUGUCAGAGGUGAAAUUCUUGGAUUUAUUGAAGACUAACUACUGCGAAAGCAUUUGCCAAGGAUGUUUUCAUUAAUCAAGAACGAAAGUUAGGGGGAUCGAAGACGAUCAGAUACCGUCGUAGUCUUAACCAUAAACCUAUGCCGACUAGGAAUCAGACGAUGUUAAUUUUUAAUGUACUCGUUUG